UACGAAGGGGGCUAGCGUUGUUCGGAAUUACUGGGCGUAAAGCGCGCGUAGGCGGACAUUUAAGUCAGGGGUGAAAUCCCGGGGCUCAACCCCGGAACUGCCUCUGAUACUGGGUGUCUAGAGUUCGGAAGAGGUAAGUGGAAUUGCGAGUGUAGAGGUGAAAUUCGUAGAUAUUCGCAGGAACACCAGUGGCGAAGGCGGGUCUCUGGGCAGUAACUGACGCUGAGGAGCGAAAGCGUGGGGAGCGAACAGG
rnacentral:rRNA from 1 species